GUGUCAGCAGCCGCGGUAAUACGUAGGGGGCGAGCGUUAUCCGGAUUUAUUGGGUGUAAAGCGUGUGUAGGCGGUUUUUUAAGUCUAAGGUUUAAGCCCGGAGCUCAACUCCGGUACGCCUUAGAAACUGAUUUACUUGAGUGUGGUAGAGGCAAAUGGAAUUUCUAGUGUAGCGGUAGAAUGCGUAGAUAUUAGAAGGAACACCGGUGGCGAAGGCGAUUUGCUGGGCCAUUACUGACGCUGAGACACGAAAGCGUGGGGAGCAAAUAGGAUUAGAUACCCUAGUAGUCCACGCCGUAAACGAUGGAUACUAAGUGUUGGGGUUACCCAGUGCUGAAGUUAACACAUUAAGUAUCCCACCUGAGUAGUACGGUCGCAAAGGCUGAAACUUAAAGGAAUUGACGGG
rnacentral:rRNA from 1 species